rnacentral:rRNA from 1 species
GAUGAACGCUGGCGGCGUGCCUAAUACAUGCAAGUCGAGCGAACAGAUGAGGCGCUUGCUCCUCUGACGUUAGCGGCGCACGGGUGAGUAACACGUGGAUAACCUACCUAUAAGACUGGUAUAACUUCGGGAAACCGGCUCUAAUACCGGAUAAUAUAUUGAACCGCAUGGUUCAAUAGUGAAAGACGGUUUUGCUGUCACUUAUAGCUGGAUCCGCGCCGCAUUAGCUAGUUGGUAAGGUAACGGCUUACCAAGGCAACGAUGCGUAGCCGACCUGAGAGGGUGAUCGGCCACACUGGAACUGAGACAGGGUCCAUACGCCUACGGGAGGCAGCAGUAGGGAAUCUGCCGCAAUGGGCGAAAGCCCGACGGAGCAGCGCCGCGUGAGUGAUGAAGGUCUUCGGAUCGUAAAACUCUGUUAUUAGGGAAGAACAAAUGUGGAAGGAGCUAUGCACGUCUUGACGGUACCGAAUCAGAAAGCCACGGCUAACUACGUG